AUAAGAGCUCAGAUAUGGAAGUGGGGUGUUUUAAAAUAUGUCGAGAAGUUUCUUUUGCACAACACUCCAUCUAGUUCGUAAAGAUAUCGUUGCAUAUCGAUCGCUCAGUGCACUCAAGAUGAUAAUAAUCGUCAAUUCAGUAUAAAUGGCGAGUGCACUGGGUUCAGCUCGAGAGUUGUGAGCUGAUUUUGAAAGCAAUUUCGUGUCUGUUAUUAAAUUUUAUUUUACUAAAAACUCAAGAUGCCUUGCAAAGGUUGUGGUGACGGCUGUAAAUGCUCCGGCUCAGCUUGCUGUACGGCGUGCAAGUGCGACGCGGGCUGCCACUGCGCGGGCAAGAAGGAGACCGCGCCCGCCACCACCGUCAAGAAGUAGAUAGAA